rnacentral:RNase_P_RNA from 1 species
GGAGUUGACCAGACAGUCGCCGCUUCAUUGCCGGCCUCUUCGGGGAGACAGAUGGAGGGGAGGAAAGUCCGGGCUCCAUAGGGCAGGGUGCCAGGUAACGCCUGGGAGGCGCAAGCCUACGACUAGUGCAACAGAGAGCAAACCGCCGAUGGCCCGCGCAAGCGGGAUCAGGUAAGGGUGAAAGGGUGCGGUAAGAGCGCACCGCGCGGCUGGCAACAGUUCGUGGCACGGUAAACUCCACCCGGAGCAAGGCCAAAUAGGGGUUCA